UGGCACUGCUGGGCCCCGCCUGGGCAGUGCCUCUUACCAUGAACUUUCUGAAGUCGUUUUUAAUCCCCUGGAGCCUCCUUUUGCCAAGGAGGGCAGGGGCAGAUGGGCCCUGGGGAUGGGAUAGACAGGAGGUGGCCAGGAAGGCUUGGCAAGGCAGUGGGCAGAGCCAUCCUUAGGGCUGGGCCUUGGCCUUGGCUGGUUCCAAACUCUGGUCUCAGCCUGAUCAGGGUUUGGGAGGGACUUGAGGUCUGGGAGGCACUGAGCCUGGGCCUGCCAGGCUGAAUGGGACAUGGCUGUGGCUGUGGGAGCCGGUGGUAUGAAGAACAGCAGAUCUGUGAGAGUGCAAAUGGACCAACACUCAGGGGAGGAGAAGAUCGGGACCCACUGGGACCCAGUGGCAACAGUCUACAGCUGCUGGGUGGUG
rnacentral:lncRNA from 1 species